CCCUGUCUCCAGUGGGCGUCUUGGGCCCCGGCUCUAUUCUGGGCUGCGGGCCUGGGAAGGGCUCGCCGGGUGCCAAAUGAGCUGUCCUAACUCUGCGGGGCUGCAGCUUCCUGCAUGAUGCUGGGGAGCUUGGCGCCUGACCCAGGAUCUAGAAGGCACUCUGGGCAGGCCGCGCUCCGCCCACGAAGGUACCCAACCCUCUGGGAUAGAUGCAGGAAGCGAUGGUUAAGACCCAUUUUCACCCAACUUCUCGCCGCAGGUCUGGCUUACCACACGCUCCUCCCCAUUCCCAGUGAGCCGCUUUUUGCAGCACCAGGCGAACACUUACACCAGUGCUUUGUAAAGGAAUCUUAUUGUCCACCCCGUGUCUUGGCAAAAGAACAGUGAUCACACAGAUUCCUACUUGGGCUCUUUCCUUUAAUCUUCGGAGGCUGAGUUUGCCCAACUCAGGUUUAACCACCAAGGACUCUGAGAGCUGGCAGGUCUGAGUAACCCUGGUAACAAUUCUCUUCACCUUAUCAAAACCUGAGCUAAAACCAAUGCAUCAGCUGAUGAUGACAGCAGAGAGUGGCAGGGCUGAGGACCCAAAGUCAUUUCCCAGGCUGGCGGAGAAUAAACUGCCAGGGAGAAGAAUGAGAAGACAGGAGACAAACUGUUUGGAAAGCUAAAUCUUCCCUCUUAAUGAAUAAAGGUUUUUGCCUUGUCUUAAAAAAAAAAAAAAAAAAAAAAAAAAAAAAAAAAAAAAAAAAAA
rnacentral:lncRNA from 1 species